AUCACGCCCUGGGCUGCAGGCGGCACUAAACCGCUGCGCCACUGGGGCUGCCCUAUUUGGCAACAGUGAAAAGACCCAGGCCAGGCCUUCAGGGAGCUUCCACUCUGUAGGAGAAACAGCCAAGCAAACAGCAAGUGAACUCUGCAGAAUGCAAUUAUUUCUCCUCCCUUGGAAAUGUUUGAAGACCUAGGAGGAAGGAGGAACCAGCGUUUUGGUUGCUGAUGAUUUGGGCUCUGGGUUGAAUAGACUAUCUAUUGUGAAAGUGUAUUGUGCAAAAGGAGAAUGGGGCUUUUUAUGAAGGGAGAUAAAGAGGGUGCGGGGUGGGAACUGCUAGGCUGGGGGAGGAGGAGGCAGGCCUGGAAGUGGCGGGUGGACAAUGGGCAGGGCUACCCUGAAGGUCCUUCUAAGUUGCCCUCUCCAGCCUACACCUGGGUCACAGUGUCCAGGGCCUGCCGAGUACUUGGCACUCUGUGCGGAACAGGGGCUCAGCAAAUGUUUACUGUCCAUAAGGAUAGAUGAAUGAAUAAGCAUGUAAUAUCAGGGAUCACUCUCAUGAAUUUCCUUUAAGGCAUUAAUUAAACAUGUUGUCUGGAAAAGAAA